UACGUAGGGGGCAAGCGUUGUCCGGAAUUAUUGGGCGUAAAGCGCGCGCAGGCGGUUCUUUAAGUCUGGUGUUUAAACCCGAGGCUCAACUCCGGGUCGCACUGGAAACUGGGGAACUUGAGUGCAGAAGAGGAGAGUGGAAUUCCACGUGUAGCGGUGAAAUGCGUAGAUAUGUGGAGGAACACCAGUGGCGAAGGCGACUCUCUGGGCUGUAACUGACGCUGAGGCGCGAAAGCGUGGGGAGCAAACAGG
rnacentral:rRNA from 1 species